AUGCGUGCAGAGGUGAAUAUGUCUGUGAAGAUAAUCCCUCGUCAUGCACAAUCAUGUGAAAGCAUCAAGAAUGUCGAUGCUUUAGUAUGGUGUCGAUAUGAUCAAAUUAAACAACAGCAUUACUCAUGCUCAUGUCAUAACCUUGUCUAGCUAGCUCUAGUUGUCUAUGUUGAAAUGUUGGGGUCAGUUUUGGCUGCAUAUUGGGUCUUCUUUCUUUGUUAUAAAGGUUUUAUGUGAUACAAUAAGGUUGGUGAUCAUGUGGGAACAAUCUUUUAUUACAAGAGCUGUUAAGAUUUUUAAUAAAUUAAUAUAAGUGAUUUUAAAAGCUCCAUAAUCAUUGCUAUUUGUAUAUUGAUGGUGCGUCUCAGCAUCUCCUUUCCAUUCACUUUCCAUUUGCUUUCUUAAAUUUCUGACAGUAACUGGUCGAUGGCUUUUGUUUGUAAACGUUACCAAGCUUCGCUGUCAGAAAUUUAGGUGAUGCAUGAUCCAUUUAGAUAAUGGAAUGUGGACUGUCAUGAUCCUAUCAUUGUUCUUGGCGAUAUAUAAGAAUUCUCCCUUGAAUUUAUCACAGAAUCAUUGAAUUGAGCAGUUCCCUCCCUUCUCGUGAUUUGUUGACAUGGGAUUAUGUAAAGUUGUCGACUACGAAAUUUAUACGAGUUGCUCUCUAAACACUAAUAUUAUUGAUUAAAAGAGUGAAAUUCUUGUGCAAUUCACAAUAAAAAUUAAGGGAUUCCUAUUCUCACACGUUUUAAAUAAAUGUUUAAUGGGUUAGAAAAUUUAUCAUGUAAAUUCAAAGAUCCAGAUAUAUAUAUAUAUGAUAAAAUGAUAAUGUUUUGGUUAAAAAAAGUCUAUAAAAAUAUUAUUUUGAAUAAAAUUUUAAAAAAUUCAAGUAAUUUAUCAAGGUAUUAUUUAGGUUUAUCGAGCCAACAUCCACUCCAAUAAUAUAAAACCUGGUUCGAGCUAAAUUCUAGAUCAACUAUAUAUGGUUAUAUAAUCACAUUCUUAACGAUUUGUUUUGUAUUUAUUAGUAUAAAAAUUUUCAAUUUAUUUAAUUGGAUGAAUAAAUAUAAUAUAAAAACAUAUUUAUUAAUUUUUUCUACUAGAAAGAAUAAUAUUUGACCCGCAGAAAGCAAUAUGUGUUGCUUGCACAGCCCUGUUUUAGCCUCUGGGCUUCUUAGCCAGUCCUUGUAUAGCCAUGGAAAUGUUGGGCUAAUUAAUAUGCCCUUUAACACAUGGGCUAAGCUCUGUUAAUGAAACCCAGCAGAAAACAUAGAUAAUGGACUGGUCCAUGGCUUUCCUUGGAUUCUCUACUUUCAUGACGAGGCAACAAUUUCAAAUUAGAUUCAUGUGAUUCCUCUCAACAAUUCUGGAAAGCAAUAAUGAUUUUGCUGGGAUUUUUUUCGAAGUUUUUUAUAAAAUUAAAAAUUAAAAAUUAAAAAUAAUUAUUUUUUAAAAAAUGCAGCUGAACGCAAUUUCAAACGGUUAGUUAAACCUGCCUCAGCUUUCAAAGUUGGAAAUCAUAGACGCAACUUCCGGGCCCACAAUUUGCUAACUUUCUUCUUUAUGUCCACACAUAGGGAUAAGAUAAAACGAUGAGCUACUUGCUUUACGACUUGGGUUUCUAAUUUCUCAUUUUUCAUUUUCAUGGUAAAAUAAUAAAUACAAUUUCUUUUUUUCAGGAAACAACAAUCAAACGCCGGCUAAAUUCUUUUACACAUGAGAUAUGGAAAUAUUAACUGAAGAUUUUUAAUUUUUUAUGAGGAAUUUUUUGGGGCACGUGUACGGUUGUCAUGGGUGUUGCAUGGCUCAUUUAUUGACAUGACUAAACUAAGGCACCGUAGGAUGCACUGCAACCUUCGAAAUGAUUAAAAAAAUUGAAGGUGAGAUGUGCCAUCAAAACCAGCACAUGCAUGUGCAUGAUUGGAGGGUCAGCAAUUAAAAAUGAAACGACAAUAUUACGUCAAGCUCAACACCCAAUCCCACGUGUUCUCUUCUUAUUGGCCUCUAGACGCACGGUAUUUAAACUAUGUCCUCACACUUUACUACUUAAGCUGUGAUCAAUCUUCAUUUUAUAAGCCUCCUUUUUGUAUCACAAUCUCCCUCUCACCCUCUGGUCCGUUCCUUCACUCUGCUCUCAAUUCUAUCAUCUCAUCAGGUGCAGAUCAAAGCUCGGACAAAACCAUGGCUGAAAAGGUAUGUGCAUGGAUGGAUGGAUGUGGGGAUUUUGAUAUAUUUCCUUCUUCUUCUUUUCUUGGUUUCGAUUUAUCUUUUAUUUAGCCCAUUCAUGUGGGUUUUUCUUCUUUUUACGUGGUGUGGUCAUUGUUUUUGGCCCUAUGGACCUCAUCUUCUUUUUAAUUUUCUUUACUGAUCAAUAUCCUUCCAUGUCAGAAAGUGUUCCGGUCCUUUCAAUAUUCUUCCUGGCUUAGAAAUUAUGUCCUUGUGUUUAAUUAUGUGCUCAUAUUGCAGAAAGUCACAAUAAUGGUGAUCAAGGUUGACCUUGAAUGUGAGAAAUGCCACAAGAAAAUCAAGAAAGUACUGUGUAGGAUCCCUCGUGAGUGCCUCUUUCUCCAUUUACUAUAACUUAGUUUGAGCUGUUUUAAGAUGAAAGGAAAGUGGCUAAGUUGUUUUUGUGGAUUGUGAACAAGAGAAAUUCAGAGCCAGAUAUAUGACACGAAGGCAGGCACAGUGACCAUCACUGUGGUAUGUUGCAGUCCUGAAAAGAUCAAGGAAAAGAUAAUCUGUAAGGGAGGUGAAGCUGUCAAGAGCAUUGAGAUCAAGGUUCCAGAGAAACCCAAAGCAGCACCAGAGAAACCCAAACAACCGGAGAAGCCGAAAGAACCUGAGAAGCCUAAGCAACCAGAGAAGCCGAAAGAACCGGAGAAGCCGAAAGAACCGGAGAAGCCGAAAGAACCUGAGAAGCCCAAGCAACCAGAGAAGCCGAAAGAACCGGAGAAACCCAAAGAACCAGAGAAGGCCAAAGAACCGGAGAAGCCUAAAGCGCUUCUUGUUGAACAACCAAAACCCAAAGAACCGGCCCCAAACCCAGCUCCAAACCCGGCACCACCACCACCACCACCUAAAGCUCCGGAACCAGUCCACCCGAGGACAUGUUGUGCUGAAUGCUACCAUGGGAUUAGUGGAGGCCCAUGUUAUCAUGACUAUGGUGGGCCAGCACCCCCAAGUUAUGAAGCUUAUGGAAGGCCAGUGUAUGAUAAUUGGGGUGGCGGCGGCGGCGGCGGCGGCUGUGGUUGCCAAAGAAGCGGUUACUAUGUGUGCAGAUGCGAAUAUGUCUGUGAAGAUAAUCCCUCGUCAUGCUCAAUCAUGUGAAAGCGUCUAGAAUGUCGAUAUUGCCUUAAGCCGAUUUCCACCAAAAAUCACUGGAUUUGGACAGUAGUAUGGUGUCGAUAUGAUCAAAUCAAACAAUAGCAUUACUCAUGCUCAUGUCAUAACCUUGUCUAGCUAGUCAGUUUUGGCUGCAUAUUGGGUCUUCUUCCUUCGUUAUAGAGAUUUUAUGUGAUACAAUAAGGUUGGUGAUGUGGGAACAAUAUUUUAUUACAGGUUUACAAAUGUUAAGAUUUUUAAUAAAUUAACAAAAGGGAUUUUAAAGCUUCCAUAAUAAUCAUUGCUAUUUGUAUAUAUAGUGAUGGUGCAUCCCAGCAUCUCCUUUCCAUUCACUUUCCAUUUGCUUUCUUUAAUUUCUGACAGUAACUGAUCGAUGGCUUUUGUUUGCAAGCUUCGCUGUCAGAAAUUUAGGUGAUGCAUGAUCCAUCUAGAUAAUGGAAUGUGGACUGUCGUGAUUCCAUCAUUGUACUUGGCGAUAAGAAUUCUACCAUGAAUGAGCAGUUCCCUUCCCUCUCUUGAUUUGUUGAUAUGAGAUUUAUGUAAAGUUGCCGACUACGAAAUUUAUAUGAGUUGCUCUCUAAACACUAACAUUAUUG
rnacentral:lncRNA from 1 species